rnacentral:rRNA from 1 species
UUGCACGCUGGCGGCAUGCCUUACACAUGCAAGUCGCACGGUAACAGGUCUUCGGAUGCUGACGAGUGGCGAACGGGUGAGUAAUACAUCGGAACGUGCCCAGACGUGGGGGAUAACGAGGCGAAAGCUUUGCUAAUACCGCAUACGAUCUAAGGAUGAAAGCAGGGGACCGCAAGGCCUUGUGCGUUUGGAGCGGCCGAUGGCAGAUUAGGUAGUUGGUGGGAUAAAAGCUUACCAAGCCGACGAUCUGUAGCUGGUCUGAGAGGACGACCAGCCACACUGGGACUGAGACACGGCCCAGACUCCUACGGGAGGCAGCAGUGGGGAAUUUUGGACAAUGGGCGAAAGCCUGAUCCAGCAAUGCCGCGUGCAGGAUGAAGGCCUUCGGGUUGUAAACUGCUUUUGUACGGAACGAAAAGGCUCUGGCUAAUACCUGGGGCACAUGACGGUACCGUAAGAAUAAGCACCGGCUAACUACGUG